rnacentral:rRNA from 1 species
ACUCCUGACUGACCGAUAGUGAACCAGUACCGUGAGGGAAAGGCGAAAAGAACCCCGGCGAGGGGAGUGAAAAAGAACCUGAAACCGUGUACGUACAAGCAGUGGGAGCACAGAGCAAUCUGUGUGACUGCGUACCUUUUGUAUAAUGGGUCAGCGACUUAUAUUCUGUAGCAAGGUUAACCGAAUAGGGGAGCCGAAGGGAAACCGAGUCUUAACUGGGCGUUAAGUUGCAGGGUAUAGACCCGAAACCCGGUGAUCUAGCCAUGGGCAGGUUGAAGGUUGGGUAACACUAACUGGAGGACCGAACCGACUAAUGUUGAAAAAUUAGCGGAUGACUUGUGGCUGGGGGUGAAAGGCCAAUCAAACCGGGAGAUAGCUGGUUCUCCCCGAAAGCUAUUUAGGUAGCGCCUCGUGAAUUCAUCUCCGGGGGUAGAGCACUGUUUCGGCAAGGGGGUCAUCCCGACUUACCAACCCGAUGCAAACUGCGAAUACCGGAGAAUGUUAUCACGGGAGACACACGGCGGGUGCUAACGUCCGUCGUGAAGAGGGAAACAACCCAGACCGCCAGCUAAGGUCCCAAAGUCAUGGUUAAGUGGGAAACGAUGUGGGAAGGCCCAGACAGCCAGGAUGUUGGCUUAGAAGCAGCCAUCAUUUAAAGAAAGCGUAAUAGCUCACUGGUCGAGUCGGCCUGCGCGGAAGAUGUAACGGGGCUAAACCAUGCAC